rnacentral:rRNA from 1 species
GAGUUUGAUCGUGGCUCAGGAUGAACGCUGGCGGCGUGCCUAACACAUGCAAGUCGAACGGAGUUUAUGAGGAAGAAGCUUCGGCGGAAUUCUUAUAAACUUAGUGGCGGACGGGUGAGUAACACGUGGAGAACCUGCCUCUUACCGGGGGACAGCAGUUGGAAACGACUGAUAAUACCGCAUAAGCGCACGAGACCGCAUGGUCCUGUGUGAAAAGAUUUAUCGGUAAGAGAUGGCUCCGCGUCUGAUUAGCCAGUUGGCGGGGUAACGGGCCCACCAAAGCGACGAUCAGUAGCCGGCCUGAGAGGGUGAACGGCCACAUUGGGACUGAGACACGGCCCGAGACUCCUACGGGAGGCAGCAGUGGGGGAUAUUGCACAAUGGAGGAAACUCUGAUGCAGCGACGCCGCGUGAGUG